rnacentral:rRNA from 1 species
GAUGAACGCUAGCGGGAGGCUUAACACAUGCAAGUCGAGGGGCAGCAUAGGGUAGCAAUACUCUGAUGGCGACCGGCAAACGGGUGAGUAACGCGUAUGCAACCUACCCUGUACAGGGGGAUAACCCGGAGAAAUUCGGACUAAUAUCCCGUAAUAAUAUCCGGAGGCAUCUUUGGAUAUUUAAAGUUCCGACGGUACGGGAUGGGCAUGCGUAACAUUAACUGGUUGGUAAGGUAACGGCUUACCAAGGCUAUGAUGUUUAGGGGUCCUGAGAGGGUGGUCCCCCACACUGGUACUGAGACACGGACCAGACUCCUACGGGAGGCAGCAGUGAGGAAUAUUGGUCAAUGGGCGCAAGCCUGAACCAGCCAUCCCGCGUGCAGGAAGACGGCCCUAUGGGUUGUUAAACUGCUUUUCCAGGGAGAGAAACUUACGCACGUGUUGCGUGACUGACGGUACCUGGGAAUAAGCAUCGGCUAACUCCGUG